rnacentral:rRNA from 1 species
AGGGUUCGAUUCUGGCUCAGGAUGAACGCUGGCGGCGUGCUUAACACAUGCAAGUCGAACGAUUAACCCACCUUCGGAUGGUUAUAAAGUGGCGAACGGGUGAGUAACACGUGACCAACCUGCCUUCCACAUCGGGAUAACUAAGGGAAACUGUAGCUAAUACCGAAUACUCCGCGCCCUCCGCAUGGCGGGCCCGGGAAAGCUCCGGCGGUGGAAGAUGGGGUCGCGGCCCCAUUAGGUAGUUGGUGGGGUAACGGCCUACCAAGCCGGCGAUGGGUAGCCGGGUUGAGAGACUGAUCGGCCACAUUGGGACUGAGAUACGGCCCAGACUCCUACGGGAGGCAGCAGUGGGGAAUUUUGCGCAAUGGGGGGAAACCCUGACGCAGCAACGCCGCGUGCGGGAUGAAGGCCUUCGGGUUGUAAACCGCUUUCAGUAGGGAAGAAGUUGACGGUACCUACAGAAGAAGCUCCGGCUAAAUACGUGCCAGCCGCCGC